AGCUAGUUGGCGGGGUAAAGGCCCACCAAGGCUACGAUCCGUAGCUGGUUUGAGAGAACGACCAGCCACACUGGGACUAAGACACGGCCCAGACUCCUACGGGAGGCAGCAGUGGGGAAUUUUGGACAAUGGGGGCAACCCUGAUCCAGCCAUGCCGCGUGAGUGAAGAAGGCCUUCGGGUUGUAAAGCUCUUUCGGCCGGAACGAAAUCGCGUACGUGAAUAACGUGCGUGGAUGACGGUACUGGAAGAAGAAGCACCGGCUAACUACGUGCCAGCAGCCGCGGUAAUACGUAGGGACCAAGCGUUGUUCGGAUUUACUGGGCGUAAAGGGCGCGUAGGCGGCGUGGUAAGUCACUUGUGAAAUCUCUGAGCUUAACUCAGAACGGCCAAGUGAUACUGCUGUGCUAGAGUGCAGAAGGGGCAAUCGGAAUUCUUGGUGUAGCGGUGAAAUGCGUAGAUAUCAAGAGGAACACCUGAGGUGAAGACGGGUUGCUGGGCUGACACUGACGCUGAGGCGCGAAAGCCAGGGGAGCAAACGGGAUUAGAUACCCCGGUAGUCCUGGCCCUAAACGAUG
rnacentral:rRNA from 1 species